rnacentral:rRNA from 1 species
GACGAACGCUGGCGGCGCGCCUAACACAUGCAAGUCGAGCGAUGAAAUUUUAACCGAUCUCUUCGGAGAGAAGAUAAAAUGGAUUAGCGGCGGACGGGUGAGUAACCCGUGAGAAACCUGCCUUUCACAAGGGGAUAGCCUCGGGAAACCGGGAUUAAUACCCUAUGACACAUUUCCUUCGCAUGGAAGAAAUGUUAAAACUCCGGUGGUGAAAGAUGGUCUCGCGCCUGAUUAGCUAGUUGGUGGGGUAACGGCCCACCAAGGCCAUGAUCAGUAACCGGACUUGGAGGGUGAACGGUAACAUUGAACUGAGACACGGUCCAAACUCCUACGGGAGGGAGCAGUGGGGAAUAUUGCACAAUGGAGGGAGCUCUGAUGCAGCGACGCCGCGUGAGCGAUGAAGGCUUUCGAGUCGUAAAGCUCUGUCCUAUGGGAAGAUAAUGACGGUACCAUAGGAGGAAGCCCCGGCUAACUACGUG